AUAGGAACUAAGAACUGAUCUGGAUUGUUGAUUACAUCUACUCGCCCGCUUCAUUAAGGGCAAAAUAAGAAAUUCAGUACUUUGAAUGACUACCUCUAAUCUUUAUUUCUCUUUCUCUCUCUUGCUCGCACUUUCUCUCUCUUCCACCCAAUUCUCUCUUCUGCGACUCUUUCUUUGCUCUUCUCUAAUCGAAUUCUUGAAGUUGUUUUCCGAUCUUUGUUGCCACUAUGACUAAAUCUGGACAAGGUUCUCGCUAUUUUCCAGCGACCGAAAGUGAUAGACAUUUUGAUGAAUUAGAUUGUUGAAGAAUCAUGUCGAAUGAUGAUAGAGAGGAGAAGGAGUUGGAUCUUAGCUAUCCUAAAGUGUUGCUGACAUCGUAUAAAGAGGGCAUUUCCACGUGUUUACAGUCGGCUGUGCAGUAGCACAAGGUGCAUCACUAUAUACUCUCUGCGCAUAGAUUAAGUACUCCUCCACCAUCUUUACAUAACCCGCAGCCAAGGCAACAGCAUCAGGUUUCGUGUUCUCAAAAUACGCCUUAUUCUUACAUGCCCAUGCCGCCCACAUCAGAGUAAUUGUUGUCCUUAACUCACCAGAGCUUAAUUUUGAAGCAAGCCAGACCCAUCUUUCUGUAAAAGAGGCAGAGGGUGCAUCAGCAAUCACAAUAGCCAGAGGGUCAUGCUGCCAUAUAGGAGCUGCCACCUUACUCUCAAAAAUGGCAUGAAUUAUUGUCUCAGAGCUAGCACCACGAAUUGGGCAGAUCGCAUCCUCUACUAUAUGACGCUUUUGAAGGCUUUCUUUGACUGCCAGGCUGCCUUUACAGGCCCUCCACAAGAAGUGUCUCAGCUUUGGUGGACCUUGUAGCAACCAAAUCCCACGCCAAAGGUUCUCCUUCAUCAUUAAUCUAUCAAAUUGAGUGACAGUAAUGAGAGCAGGUGUGUCCACUAUAGGAUCGAGUUAACCUCAUGUUACAAAAAUCAUCAAAAAACAACCUCUUUUGUUUGUAUACCUUAGAGCUAAUUUGAUUUACUUUUGGGAUGUUUUGAAUUACUUUAAAGUGUCUAAUAUUUAAUUUUAGAGAUAACCUAUGUAAAAAUCGAACCUACACCUCUAUACAUCCGCAUAGUGCUCUACAAAAUAAUGAACACUGUGUUCCAGUUAUAGCU